UGAAUUGUGUGAUAGUUGAAGCUCAUCCAGUUAUAUUCUUUAACAAACCCUUACAUAAGUUUUGGAGCUCAAAAAACCAUUACAAUACAACCCAAAUAGAAAGGGCAAUCUGCAGAAUCAUUCCACUUUUUUGCAUGUGUAAACAAUUUU